rnacentral:ncRNA from 1 species
CAAAGGUUUGGUCCUGGCCUUCUUAUUAAUUGUAAGUAAACUUAUACAUGCAAGUUUCAGCACUCCAGUGAGAAUGCCCUUUAAUUCUAUCAGAUUAAAAGGUGCGGGUAUCAAGCUCACAAAUGUAGCUCAAGACACCUUGCUUAGCCACACCCCCACGGGAUACAGCAGUAACAAAAAUUAAGCCAUGAACGAAAGUUUGACUUAGUUAUACUUUUUAGAGUUGGUAAACUUCGUGCCAGCCACCGCGGUCAUACGAAUAACUCAAAUUAAUAAGUACCGGCGUAAAGUGUGAUUAGGAACCCAAUUAAAAAUAAAAUUAAAACCUUUCUAUGCUGUAAAAAGCCAAAGAAAUGACCUAAAUAAACCACAAAAGUGAUUUUAUUAAAUCUGAACUCACGAUAGCUAAGAAACAAACUGGGAUUAGAUACCCCACUAUGCUUAGCCCUAAACCUCGACAAUCAAAAACAAGAUUGCCCGCCAGAGAACUACUAGCCAAUGCUUAAAACUUAAAGGACUUGGCGGUGCUUCAAACCCACCUAGAGGAGCCUGUUAUGUAAUCGAUAAACCCCGAUAUACCCCACCAUCAUUUGCUAAAUCAGUCUAUAUACCGCCAUCUUCAGCAAACCCUGAAAAGGCAGAACAGUAAGCCUAAUCAUGUAAACAUAAAAACGUUAGGUCAAGGUGUAACCUAUAUGAUGGGAUCUAAUGGGCUACAUUUUCUCUUACCCAGAACAGUCACCCACGAAGGCCUUCAUGAAAUCUGAAGGAUAAAGGAGGAUUUAGCAGUAAACUGAGAAUAGAGUGCUCAAUUGAAACCGGCCAUGAAGCACGCACACACCGCCCGUCACCCUCCUCAACCUCAAUCAUAGUGUUUAAUAAAUUAAACCUAAACACUCCCAGAAUUCAGAGGAGACAAGUCGUAACAAGGUAAGCAUACUGGAAAGUGUGCUUGGAAAACUC